AAACCAGGAAUAGAUACCCUAUUAUAAAAAUUUAAAUUAAUUUGCUAAAAAAUUAAUAGUUAUGUUCUUUAAAUUUAAAAAAUUUGGCGGUAUUUUAGUCUUAUUAGAGGAACCUGUUUUUUAAUUGAUAAUCCACGAUUUAUUUUACUUAUUUUAAAUAAUUCAUAUAUCGCUGUCAUGAAUAUAUUUAAAAAUUAAUUUUCUUUAUUUAUUUUUUUAAUUUAUGUUAAGUCAAGAUGUGGUUUAUAAAUAAGUAUUUAAUGGGUUACAGUAAAUUUUAUUUAUGGAUUUAAAAUGAAAAUUAAAAUGAAAUUGGAUUUAAUAGUAAAUUUAUUUAUUUAAUAA
rnacentral:rRNA from 1 species